rnacentral:rRNA from 1 species
UAGGGAAUAUUGCGCAAUGGGCGAAAGCCUGACGCAGCGACGCCGCGUGGAUGAUGAAGCAUCUUGGUGUGUAAAAUCCUUUCAGCGGGGACGAAACGUCGGAUGAGGAAAUGCUUCCGGCCUGACGGUACCCGCAGAAGAAGUUCCGGCUAACUCCGUGCCAGCAGCCGCGGUAAUACGGGGGGAACGAGCGUUGUUCGGAUUUACUGGGUGUAAAGGGCACGCAGGCGGGAAGACAAGUCCGAUGUGCAAACCCGGGGCUUAACCGCGGGCCUGCAUUGGAAACUGUUUUUCUUGAGUACGAGAGAGGAUGGCGGAAUUCCUGGUGUAGCGGUGAAAUGCGUAGAUAUCAGGAAGAACACCGGUGGCGAAGGCGGCCAUCUGGCUCGAUACUGACGCUCAGGUGCGAAGGCUAGGGGAGCAAACAGGAUUAGAUACCCUGGUAGUCCUAGCGGUAAACCAUGGAUACUAGGUGUUGGAGGUAUCGACCCCUCCAGUGCUGCAGUUAACACAUUAAGUAUCCCACCUGGGGAGUACGGCCGCAAGGUUG